GUGAAAGGCGAUGCAACCGACAGGUUGAAUCGGGCGAAGCAUUCGGCUAGUGUGUCCACCCAAUUGGCCGAAUAAAAUUCGGCGCCGAUUGAUUCGGCCGAACGAUUCGGCUAAUGUGUCCACUGCUUUAGCUUAUCUUAUAUGUUAAUUGUUUUAAAACAUGGCUCCAACUUUUCCCCCAAGUAAUUUUAUUUUGGACUGCACUCCACACUUCAGACGGAUUAGCAUCUGGCAAUGUCUUGUUCCAAAUAUGAGCUUAGCCAUGGAAAUAAAGUGAUAAUUUUAAAACCGGUUUAAAAACCAAAAUUUAACUUCGGUGUAGAUGUGGGAUACAAUUGUAAUUUUACUCAUGAUUCAUUUGGUUGAUAUAGAUCCGAACCUUUUUCCACUUCUUGUGACCUUUAUUCCAAACACAACUGAAAACGUACAGAAUGUUGUUCUAAUCCAGAAAAGAAAAUCUCCAAAAUUUGCCCCUGAAAGGUACGUGUUCAAAAGCUGUCCCUAUGGUGAUGAGUUCAUACCCCCACUAUUAAAUUUGAGUGGUUCAGUAAUUGAAAGCUGCUAAACUGGCCCCUGCACCGACUCAAUGGAACCGUUAAUAGUGUCUAAAUUUCCCUUUUAGGGUGCCACCACCCAACUUAAUUUUAACAAAUUAUAUGCACCACACAAGCAAUCGACCUACCAAAUCCAUCAGUCAUUCAGAAAAGGUUAAAAACAUUAAAGGUUAGUGGACGACUUGAUGGGCUAUAUAAAGAAAACAAACUGAGACUUGACAGAACGUUGGUUGGAUUUACUAUAUUUUAGUAUUAUAUGCCUAGUUAAUUGCCUUUCUUUACACUGAUCAACGACUUACAUAACCAAUUUCUAUUAAUUAAACAUUGGACAUACCAUUCUAUCUUACAAAUCGAUUCCUAUUUUAUUGGGGUUAUCGGUUUUCUAGAACGGUUUAGAUCGUAUCACUUUAAGUUCAAGGUUCCUUGAAGACAUCAAUAUGUGGCAUUCUUUUCUGACAUUUGUCCUAACACAAGCUAUUCUUUUACAUGGUUCGAAUAUCCACUAUUAUCUAGCAUUUAGAAGCUCAGUAAAUCAAAAACUUCAAAUUGACACCAGUGAGAAACUGACAGUGUACGGAAUCACAGUAAUUGAUUGUGUUAGGUUAUGUGCGGCUACCGCUUCUUGCAGGGCUUUAAAUAUUGGAUCUUCAGAUGAAUGUGAAAUUCUGAAAGCGAACUGGUGUGAUGGGAGAGGAUACCUUGUUUCAGAGACUGGAUUUCACUAUUAUGAUAUUGGUUAUAAUGUUACAGGCCAGAAAUGGAAUGAAAGGCAAAGUUAUUCAUGUAAGCAAGGCAACAGAUGUUCGGCAAACUGUAGAAAGUACGAAUCUUAUAAAGAGAUCAAGAUUGUGCGUGGGAACCAUUGCGUUGGUGAUUCUGAAUGUUUGAUGGAUAACGGUGAAUGUGCAAAUGGGGCGUGUCGAUGUAAACUAGGAUACAGUUAUAAUCCACAAAAUGAUUCCUGUAGUUUUGGUUGUGAACACUACAGUGACGAUUAUAACCAAUACAAGGAUUUGUCAUUGGCUGGCCACAAUACCCAAUCAUUGGCAAACACGUCUCUCCAGAAUUGUUUAAAUAAGUGCUCAAUGGCGACAUUCACUUGCCGGAGUGU